CACGUAAGGGGCGAGCGUUGUUCGGAAUUAUUGGGCGUAAAGGGCACGCAGGCGGUUAUACAAGUCCGAUGUUAAAGACCUGGGCUUAACUCAGGGAAUGCGUUGGAAACUGUAUGACUAGAAUCUUGGAGGGGGAGUCGGAAUUCCUAGUGUAGGGGUGAAAUCUGUUGAUAUUAGGAAGAACACCGGUGGCGAAGGCGGACUCCUGGCCGAAGAUUGACGCUGAGGUGCGAAAGCAUAGGGAGCAAAC
rnacentral:rRNA from 1 species